rnacentral:tRNA from 1 species
GCUUCGUUAGCCAAGUUGGUAAGGCAAUUGACUGCAACUCAAUGAUCAGUGGUUCGAGUCCGCUACGAAGCUCCA